rnacentral:rRNA from 1 species
GAAAGGCCAAUCAAACCGGGAGAUAGCUGGUUCUCCCCGAAAGCUAUUUAGGUAGCGCCUCGUGAACUCAUCUUCGGGGGUAGAGCACUGUUUCGGCUAGGGGGUCAUCCCGACUUACCAAACCGAUGCAAACUCCGAAUACCGAAGAAUGUUAUCACGGGAGACACACGGCGGGUGCUAACGUCCGUCGUGAAGAGGGAAACAACCCAGACCGCCAGCUAAGGUCCCAAAGUCAUGGUUAAGUGGGAAACGAUGUGGGAAGGCAUAGACAGCCAGGAUGUUGGCUUAGAAGCAGCCAUCAUUUAAAGAAAGCGUAAUAGCUCACUGGUCGAGUCGGCCUGCGCGGAAGAUGUAACGGGGCUAAACCAUGCACCGAAGCUGCGGCAGCGACACUUAGGUGUUGUUGGGUAGGGGAGCGUUCUGUAAGCCGUUGAAGGUGACCUGUGAGGGUUGCUGGAGGUAUCAGAAGUGCGAAUGCUGACAUAAGUAACGAUAAUGCGGGUGAAAAACCCGCACGCCGGAAGACCAAGGGUUCCUGUCCAACGUUAAUCGGGGCAGGGUGAGUCGACCCCUAAGGCGAGGCUGAAAAGCGUAGUCGAUGGGAAACAGGUUAAUAUUCCUGUACUUGGUGUUACUGCGAAGGGGGGACGGAGAAGGCUAGGCUAGCCGGGCGACGGUUGUCCCGGUUUAAGCAUGUAGGCGGAGUGACUUGGUAAAUCCGGUUGCUUAUCAACGCUGAGGUGUGAUGACGAGUCACUACGGUGAUGAAGUAGUUGAUGCCAAGCUUCCAGGAAAAGCCUCUAAGCAUCAGGUAACAUUAAAUCGUACCCCAAACCGACACAGGUGGUCAGGUAGAGAAUACUCAGGCGCUUGAGAGAACUCGGGUGAAGGAACUAGGCAAAAUGGUGCCGUAACUUCGGGAGAAGGCACGCUGGCAUUAGGUAAAGGGACUUGCUCCCGGAGCUGAAGCCAGUCGCAGAUACCAGCUGGCUGCAACUGUUUAAUAAAAACACAGCACUGUGCAAACACGAAAGUGGACGUAUACGGUGUGACGCCUGCCCGGUGCUGGAAGGUUAAUUGAUGGGGUCAGCCGCAAGGCGAAGCUCUUGAUCGAAGCCCCAGUAAACGGCGGCCGUAACUAUAACGGUCCUAAGGUAGCGAAAUUCCUUGUCGGGUAAGUUCCGACCUGCACGAAUGGCGUAAUGAUGGCCAGGCUGUCUCCACCCGAGACUCAGUGAAAUUGAACUCGCUGUGAAGAUGCAGUGUACCCGCGGCAAGACGGAAAGACCCCGUGAACCUUUACUAUAGCUUGACACUGAACAUUGAGCCUUGAUGUGUAGGAUAGGUGGGAGGCAUUGAAGUGUGGACGCCAGUCUGCAUGGAGCCAACCUUGAAAUACCACCCUUUAAUGUUUGAUGUUCUAACUCGGCCCCAUAAUCUGGGGUGAGGACAGUGUCUGGUGGGUAGUUUGACUGGGGCGGUCUCCUCCCAAAGAGUAACGGAGGAGCACGAAGGUUAGCUAAUCACGGUCGGACAUCGUGAGGUUAGUGCAAAGGCAUAAGCUAGCUUGACUGCGAGAGUGACGGCUCGAGCAGGUACGAAAGUAGGUCUUAGUGAUCCGGUGGUUCUGAAUGGAAGGGCCAUCGCUCAACGGAUAAAAGGUACUCCGGGGAUAACAGGCUGAUACCGCCCAAGAGUUCAUAUCGACGGCGGUGUUUGGCACCUCGAUGUCGGCUCAUCACAUCCUGGGGCUGAAGUAGGUCCCAAGGGUAUGGCUGUUCGCCAUUUAAAGUGGUACGCGAGCUGGGUUUAGAACGUCGUGAGACAGUUCGGUCCCUAUCUGCCGUGGGCGUUGGAAGAUUGAGAGGGGCUGCUCCUAGUACGAGAGGACCGGAGUGGACGAAUCACUGGUGUUCGGGUUGUCAUGCCAAUGGCAUUGCCCGGUAGCUAAAUUCGGAAGAGAUAACCGCUGAAAGCAUCUAAGCGGGAAACUUGCCUCGAGAUGAGUCUUCCCUGGGGCUUUAAGCCCCCUGAAGGAACGUUAAAGACUAUGACGUUGAUAGGCUGGGUGUGUAAGUGCAGCGAUGCAUUGAGCUAACCAGUACUAAUGAUCCGUGAGGCUUAACCUU